UUGGUGUUUGAUGGGAUUGUGAAGAGUUUAAUCAUAGAUAAUCUCUUAACCAUCCCAUCAAAUAAGUGGAGGAUUCAUUAAAUUGUGAAACAUUACCCUACCAUAAUGUGAUGUAUUUCCAAUGCA